rnacentral:rRNA from 1 species
AGCGGAGGAAAAGAAACUAACAAGGAUUCCCCUAGUAACUGCGAGUGAAGCGGGAAAAGCUCAAAUUUAAANUCUGGUGGUCUUUGGCCGUNCGAGUUGUAAUUUAGAGAAGCGUCUUNCGCGCUGGNCCGUGCACAAGUCUCCUGGAAUGGAGCGUCAUAGAGGGUGAGAAUCCCGUCUUUGGCACGGACACACCAGGGCUUUUGUGAUGCGCUCUCGAAGAGUCGAGUUGUUUGGGAAUGCAGCUCAAAAUGUGUGGUGAACUCCAUCUAAAGCUAAAUAUUGGCGAGAGACCGAUAGCGAACAAGUACCGUGAGGGAAAGAUGAAAAGCACUUUGGAAAGAGAGUGAAACAGUACGUGAAAUUGUUGAAAGGGAAACGCUUGAAGUCAGUCGCGUCGACCGAGACUCAGCCUUGCCUUGGCUUGGUGUACUUCUCGGCUGACGGGUCAGCAUCAAUUUUGCCCCUUGGAUAAUGGUGAGGGAAAUGUGACACCUUUACGGUGUGUUAUAGUCUCUUGUCGCAUGCAAGGGUCGGGAUUGAGGAACUCAGCACGCGCCCUUGGGCGUCGGGGCUUUUGCCCACGAUACGUGCUCAGGAUGUUGGCAUAAUGGCUUUAAACGACC